UAGGAGGUACGACGGCAGUGAUUAGAGUUUGAUCAUGGCUCAGGACGAACGCUGGCGGCGUGCUUAACACAUGCAAGUCGAACGGGGAAUUUUAUUUCGGUUGAAUUCCUAGUGGCGAACGGGUGAGUAACGCGUAGGCAACCUGCCCUUCAGACGGGGACAACAUUCCGAAAGGGAUGCUAAUACCGGAUACGAAGCUUCUGCCGCAUGACGGAAGCUUGAAAGGUGCUCUCAAGCACCGCUGAAGGAUGGGCCUGCGUCCGAUUAGCUGGUUGGUGGGGUAACGGCUCACCAAGGCGACGAUCGGUAGCCGGUCUGAGAGGAUGAACGGCCACAUUGGGACUGAGACACGGCCCAGACUCCUACGGGAGGCAGCAGUGGGGAAUCUUCCGCAAUGGGCGAAAGCCUGACGGAGCAACGCCGCGUGAGUGAUGAAGUUCUUCGGAACGUAAAACUCUGUUGUUCACGACGAACGGGGGGACCAGGAAAUGGGUUUCCAGUGACGGUAGUGAACGAGGAAGCCACGGCUAACUACGUGCCAGCAGCCGCGGUAAUACGUAGGUGGCAAGCGUUGUCCGGAAUUAUUGGGCGUAAAGCGCAUGUAGGCGGUUCCUUAAGUCGGUCGUGAAAAUGCGGUGCUUAACGCCGUAUGGCGAUCGAAACUGGGGGACUUGAGUGCAGGAGAGGAAAGGGGAACUCCCAGUGUAGCGGUGAAAUGCGUAGAUAUUGGGAAGAACACCGGUGGCGAAGGCGCCUUUCUGGACUGUGUCUGACGCUGAGAUGCGAAAGCCAGGGUAGCGAACGGGAUUAGAUACCCCGGUAGUCCUGGCCGUAAACGAUGGGUACUAGGUGUGGGAGGUAUCGACCCCUUCCGUGCCGGAGUUAACGCAAUAAGUACCCCGCCUGGGGAGUACGGCCGCAAGGCUUAAACUCAAAGGAAUUGACGGGGCCCGCACAAGCGGUGGAGUAUGUGGGUUUAAUUCGACGCACGCGAAGAACCUUACCAAGCUUGACAUUGAGUGAAGACUGGAGACAGGUCCCCCUCUCGAGCACGAAAACAGGUGGUGCAUGGCUGUCGUCAGCUCGUGUCGUGAGAUGUGGUAGUCCGCACGAGCGCACCCUAUCUAUGUGCAGCAUAGUGGGACUCAUAGGAAACUGCCAGCAACUUGGAGAGGCGGGAAUGACGUCAGUCAUCUAUGUCCCUUAUAUGUCUUGGGGCG
rnacentral:rRNA from 1 species